UCCAGCUACUCGGAAGGUGGCUGGGAGGUUGGGGCUGCAGUGAGCCAUGAUCAUGCCACUGCACUCUACCCUGGGUGACAGAGUGAGACUCUUAUAAAACAAACAAACAAGAAAAAACCUUUCCCCAAGGGCUCAGUGGUCUGGGAGAGAGGGCAAGAAGCUAAAACAAGAUCUCUGCAACCAGAUAUUCUGAUUCCUUUGGCCUUGGUAAUGGGGUAUAAAAGAACACCCAGUACUGCAUUAAUGUACUGUGGCUGUGUUUUCCAAAAACGGCCACAGCGAUACUUCUAGUCUCAUAUGCUCUUGCAGAACCUUGCCACCCACUACCAAGAAGUAGAGUCUGUUUCCUCUCCCGCUGAAGCUGAGCAGGGCUUGGUGGCCGCCUGUAAUGUGAUGGAAGUGACACGGCGUGACCUGCAAGGGCGAGGUCGCAGCCUACGAUAGCAGUUCUUCCUGGUCCACACUCUCAGGCUGCUCAUCCUAGGAACCCUGGUACCAUGUUAUGAGAGGCUUAGACCACUGGAGAGGCCGUGUGUAGCUGUCAUGGCCCAUCAGGCCCCCAGCCAGCAUCAACUGCAACAUGAGACCGUGAGCCUUCAGAUGACUGGCUCCUGCUUUCCAGUCUUCCCAGCCGAGGCCUCAGGCUUCGAGGAGCAGAGACAAGCCUUCACUGUGCCCUGCCUGAAUUCCUGACCUGCAGAAGUGGUGAGAAUAAGUGGUUGUUUAACGCCACUAAAUUUCUGAGUGAUCUGUUACGGAAAAAGCACUUAAACAGAAAAAGGUCCUAUCUGGCCUCUAUUGAAAGUAACAUAUGCAUUGUUCUGGGUUUCAUGUUUUGAUUCUUUGCACAGGGAAGUUGAAGUCUAUCCAGAGGACAGUGACAAGCCCAGGUGUGAGAGAGACACCAUCUGUGACCUGCACCUGGGGGUCUGGCUUCAAAAUGUGUCCUCAGCGGAUACUCUUGGGAUGGCUCAGCUAAAUGGCAGCUGUCACCUCUGAGAGGCUUGUUACUGAAUAUUAUAUGACGAAACCGCCCUGGUGGCCAAACUUUGAGAAUGGCUUGAUAAACACCCACCUCCAUUCUACAUCACUGGCGUUCUGUUCCUUCUGAAUCCUCUGCAGACUAGAGGCUCUAACGGAGCUAAGUGCUGGGCCUGGAGGUUCCAUGCUCUGCUUCAGGUCCAUGAAGAACGCCAGUGACAGAGGCGCUUGUGAGGGCUCUUGGUUUUGGUUUUUCAGUAGCCACAGAAACCAGGAAGGAGCAGAAGGAAGACACGGAACUGCCUCCACCCUCCUCUCAUCCCCUACCCCGAGCAGCUUGUAAGAAUCAUUUACUCAUGUUUCCUGUAAGACUCCAUUUGAACAGAGAGUUCUACCAGCAAAUACGUCUACAUAUUGAUUUUUCUUAAAAUGAAAUGCGGCCGCUCUUCAGUGCCACAGCAGAGCUACUAUCCUGCUGGCCUCAGAAGGAUGAGAGGCAGGUGGACAGCGCUGUCACUGCAGUUACCCCAGCUGAAGCCAGCAGCCAACCCCCAGCCACAGAAGGAAGCCUGAUCUAUAACGAGCAGAGCCAAUCCCCAGCUGACCUCAGUCAUGCACCACCUUAGGAACUGGACAGCCCGUGGUGACCUGGACAGAAAGGUGGCAGCCCCUCUGCACUUCAGGUCUUGGUGGAGAAGGCCCACCAUAACAGGUAAUGAGGUGAAUUGAACGAAGGGAUUCUGGCUGGCAAAGUGCUGUAAUGAAAUCGGAACUGGGAAACAGGAUAGGGUGAUGGUGGCAGGGUGGGGCAGGGGAAGGCCCUUCUGAGGCAGCACGGGGGCAGUCCAGCAGGGAAGCAGGCACACCCUAGACCUGGGUUUAUUUUCAUUUCCUCAGCUAUAAAGUAUGCAAAAUGAGAGUACAUAAAUGAUAGCGGUAUUGUGAGGAUUAGAUGAGGUGAGUCACAUCAGAGUCAUACAAUAAGACUUGGUUGUUAGCCAUUGUCCCAAGGAGCUGACAUCUGAGCUAAGGCUUUUUAAAAGAACAGGACAUCCAGUAAAGCUUAACUUGAACUAUUAACUAUUAACUUCAGAUAGGAAGUCUGCAAAAGGGAUUUCUGUGGAAACAAAGGCAUUCCAAUUCAGACGAGGAGUGCCCAACGUGAUUUCUCUUCUUUCUUUGUCUUCUGCCUCCAGUGUAGCUACAAAAUGUGGAGUAUCAGAGGGUCCCACCACACCGACUUUAAUCCAACGAAGGGACAGCUCUGUUCUGGACUCCGCACAAAUGUCGAGGUCACGAAGAACAAGAAAGAUUGAGAACUUGUUCCAGAUUGAAGGAAAUUAGAGAUGUGACACUGAAUACACCUUAUGAUCUGGGAUGGGAUCCUAGACCCCAGGACAUUAGUGGCAAGAUCUGAGUAAGCCUCGUAGGUAAGAUGAUAGCACUGCUGUCAUUAACUUCCUGAUUUAAGUAACUGCACUGCUGCUCUAUAAUAAAGGGUCUUUCUUAGAAAAUGCAUGCUGAAGAACUGAUGGCCAAAAGAGCAUGAUGUCUGCAACUCACUCUCAAAUGGUUUCUAGAAAAAAGUAAUAGCAUGUAUACAAAUGGAAAACGAUCAAACAAAUAGAAAAUGGUAACAAAUGGAGAACCUGAGGGAAGGGGAGAUGGGCAGUUCUUUGUACUGUUCUUGAAAAGUUUUUGUAAACCUGGGAUUAUUUAUAAACAAAAAGUUACAAAAAUAUAUAGUUAAGAGACUUAAAUCAUCCAAUACUUCUACAAACACUAAAAAGAUAGCACCCAAUUCACAAGUAGUAGAUUAAGCAAUGCUAACUUGACCACUUUAAUACAUAUGUUUUUGAGCUGCAGUAGGCUCGUCUUUAAAGAUUCUACUGGGAAGUAGUAAGAUUUAUUUGGCAUUCUGAUGGUUUGGGGAAUCUGGGGAUACUUCAUCAUCUGUGGAAGGCUAGAAGCAGUGCUUCUUUGGAACGUGCUUCCCAUCUGUCGCCCCACCCUGCCAUUUGAGAACCACUCUCUGAUGUUUUCUUCUGUCUUCAUUGUUCUGUUUUUCUCAGCAGAAAUUCAAGGACUGCUUCUCUCAUUGAAUAAGCUAUUAAGGACAAAGAUGUACUCAAAGCGGACUGAGACGUCACUGCCAGUCCGAGAGGCAGACAGUGUGGCCAUCACUUUUCUGAAAGUUAAUUCCUAGAAAUGAGCAAAGCACCCUAAAAGGAGAAAAAUGAAAUGUCUGCAGUCUACAAUGUUGAAGAUUUUUAGAAUCUGACUGCAAUGGAAAAUGUUUAAUGGGCUGUAUUUAUUUCUUUAUUUUUUCUUGAGAUAGAGUCUCACUCUGUCGCCCAGGUUGGAGUACAGUGAUGGGAUCUCGGCUCAGUGCAUCCUCCGCCUCCCGGGUUCAAACGAUUCUCUU